UUACUGCUGAAGAGUCCCAAACUAGGAUGAAACAGCUGUCCAGUAC
rnacentral:hammerhead_ribozyme from 1 species